UACAGAGGGGGCAAGCGUUGUUCGGAAUUACUGGGCGUAAAGGGCGCGUAGGCGGCCUGCUAAGUCGAACGUGAAAUCCCUGGGCUCAACCCAGGAACUGCGUCCGAUACUGGCGGGCUUGAAUUCGGGAGAGGGAUGUGGAAUUCCAGGUGUAGCGGUGAAAUGCGUAGAUAUCUGGAGGAACAUCGGUGGCGAAGGCGGCAUCCUGGACCGGUAUUGACGCUGAGGCGCGAAAGCCAGGGGAGCAAACGGG
rnacentral:rRNA from 1 species